GAUGAACGCUGGCGGCGUGCCUAAUACAUGCAAGUCGAGCGAACAGAUGAGGAGCUUGCUCCUCUGACGUUAGCGGCGGACGGGUGAGUAACACGUGGAUAACCUACCUAUAAGACUGGGAUAACUUCGGGAAACCGGAGCUAAUACCGGAUAAUAUAUUGAACCGCAUGGUUCAAUAGUGAAAGACGGUUUUGCUGUCACUUAUAGAUGGAUCCGCGCCGCAUUAGCUAGUUGGUAAGGUAACGGCUUACCAAGGCAACGAUGCGUAGCCGACCUGAGAGGGUGAUCGGCCACACUGGAACUGAGACACGGUCCAGACUCCCACGGGAGGCAGCAGUAGGGAAUCUUCCGCAAUGGGCGAAAGCCUGACGGAGCAACGCCGCGUGAGUGAUGAAGGUCUUCGGAUCGUAAAACUCUGCUAUUACGGAAGAACAAAUGUGUAAGUAACUAUGCACGUCUUGACGGUACCUAAUCAGAAAGCCACGGCUAACUACGAG
rnacentral:rRNA from 1 species